AGAAGGACCCCUGUUUAAUGUCCCUAUUGGUCUCUUUUCAAGACCUCUGUGGAGAGUGUCACCUACAGACAAACUGUCCUCCCUCAACCAGGCCGGUAGGGAGAGAAAACUGAGAUGUGGAAAGCUCUGGAGGAGACCUGGAGACCAAGCAAAAUCUUCCCAUGACUUGGGCGCACUGGGAAUAAAACUAACAUUUGAAAACCAUUUUACUUAAGUU
rnacentral:lncRNA from 1 species